AGCAGCCGCGGUAAUUCCAGCUCCAAUAGCGUAUAUUAAAGUUGUUGCAGUUAAAAAGCUCGUAGUUGAAUUUCGGAAUCAAUUUGUUGGUCGUGCCUUGGUACGUACUGGCAUUAUUGGUUUCUCCCUUCUGAGAAUCCUUGAUGUCAUUAAUUUGGUGUCUUGGGGAAUCAGGACUGUUACCUUGAAAAAAUUAGAGUGUUUAAAGCAGGCAUACGCUUGAAUACAUUAGCAUGGAAUAAUGAAAUAGGACAUUCGAUUCUAUUUUGUUGGUUUCUAGGAUCAAUGUAAUGAUUAAUAGGGAUAGUUGGGGGCAUUAGUAUUCAAUUGUCAGAGGUGAAAUUCUUGGAUUUAUUGAAGACUAACUACUGCGAAAGCAUUUGCCAAGGAUGUUUUCAUUAAUCAAGAACGAAAGUUAGGGGAUCGAAGACGAUCAGAUACCGUCGUAGUCUUAACCAUAAAUUAUGCCGACUAGGGAUCGGAUGAUGUUAAUUUUUAUGACUCAUUCGGUCG
rnacentral:rRNA from 1 species